GGGUUGUGAGGUUAAGCGACUAAGCGUACACGGUGGAUGCCCUGGCAGUCAGAGGCGAUGAAGGACGUGCUAAUCUGCGAUAAGCGUCGGUAAGGUGAUAUGAACCGUUAUAACCGGCGAUUUCCGAAUGGGGAAACCCAGUGUGAUUCGUCACACUAUCAUUAACUGAAUCCAUAGGUUAAUGAGGCGAACCGGGGGAACUGAAACAUCUAAGUACCCCGAGGAAAAGAAAUCAACCGAGAUUCCCCCAGUAGCGGCGAGCGAACGGGGAGGAGCCCAGAGCCUGAAUCA
rnacentral:rRNA from 1 species